ACAAUACUUUCUCCGUCCCAAAAUUCUUGUCUUAAAUUUAUCUAGAUAUGGAUGUAUUUAAUACUAAAACGUGACUUGGUACAUUCAUAUUUAGAUAAACCUAAGACAAGAAUUUUAAGACGGAGGGAGUAUUAU
rfam:Triticum aestivum genome assembly, contig: Triticum_aestivum_CS42_TGACv1_scaffold_094883_2AL